UCAUAAUGUCAUAGAACCAGGGUUCUAGAAGGCUCUGUGGCAGGGAGUGGGAGGGUGAUUAACAGGGGAAGAAUUAGGAAAGAGGACACGCAAGACCACAGUAAGAGAUGGAAAUAAGAGAAUAUUCCUGAUUUCCAUUGGAUGACUUUGACUGGUAUGAUUUCAUUGUCUGAAAGUGUAAACCAGGGUUCAGCAUGGCCAGAAACCAUUCCAAGCCUCAUGAAGUGGGCAAGUCAGGUUUGGUCAUUUUUGGAUCCAGUCCGAGGAGUUCCUCAUGGUUCCCAUGACUUUCAUAAUAUCCACGUGUACCGGCCAGGUAGGUAGAAUGUCCUUCCCACUUCUGAUAGAAGUAGGAGGUAGGCCUACAAAAAUUCUGGGAUUUUUGUUUUCAUAAGACAGUGUGUUUUCCUGUUGCAUUUCCUAAUUUUAGAUGUUGGUUACUAGUUUAUAAAUGAUGUUAAUACUAGGCAGUGCCUCACAACUCUAGAAGAUGCCACUUAAAUUCUACAGAAAUGCUCCCUUGUGCUGGGCGCGGUGGCUCAUGCCUGUAAUCACAGCACUUUGGGAGGCCGAGGUGGGCAGAUCACCUGAGGUCAGGAGUUCGAGACCAGCCUGGCCAACAUGGUGAAACCCCGUCUCUACCAAAAAUACAAAAAAUUAGCCAGGUGUGGUAGCGGGCACCUGUAGUCCCAGCUACUCGGGAGGCUGAGGCAGAAGAAUCGCUUGAACCCGGGAGGUGGAGGUUGCAGUGAGCUGAGAUCAUGUGACUGCACUCCAGCCUGGGCAACAAGAGAGAAACUCUGACACACACACACACACACACACACACACACACACACACACACACACACAGAGAGAGAGAGAAAUGCUGGCUUGUUAAGGUUGGGCACAGUGGUCAAGGAAGGCUCUGUAACAACAAUGAAGGGAACAUUUAAAAAACACGUGUACUCUGUACCUGUCAGAUGAAACACGUCCAUGAGCCCUACUCAGCCAUGUAACUUUGGCCAUAUGGCUCAGAGGUGGACAUUCACUGGACAUCCUGGACAACACAUUGGAAGAAGCAUCAUUGCAGUUUCUAUGUAGAUCUUCCUCCGCUCUGGCACUCUUCACUGUUUAAUCCCAUCGUUUAAUCUGUAACCAUUUUCCUGGCUUUAUCUGACUCUGGUAGCUUUAAUUAGGAAACUUCUGCUAAGAUUCUUUUCCCCAGCAUGGACUGAGCAGGUGAGUGUCUGCCAGGUUUAUAAUGAAUUUCAAUCCCAAAGGGCAGGAGGCUACUUGGAAAACAAUCCUGUCUAUAACUGGCCUAAGAAAGACUGACUUUUAGAAAAUACCAAUGGAGCAUUAGUGACAUGUUUUGGAGCAGCCGGUAUGUGAGGUCGAAUCUGCCCUCAGUAGCAAGAGUUGAAACUGACAUUACCUGAACACCACCCACGUGCCAACCCCUGGGAGGAGGGCAUCAUGGGUGCUUCCUUGGCACAUCUGCACUUCAGCCCUUGCCAUCCUCUCCCUCUUAUGGAUCAGGACCCAGUGACACAGGGAUAU
rnacentral:lncRNA from 1 species